UGCGCCUGAGAGAAACCGUUGCUGUACUGAAUUCAAAUUCCUGUGCGCGGGAGAGCGAGAGAGAGCGGAGCCGAUGCUGAAGGGCGACAGAACAUCAUUUUCUAUCAUUAAAGUUAUGUGUAACCCUCCAUUGCUAGGUCUGAGCUCACGAGGCACCAUUUGUUGUAGAAAAGAAACCACUAUGAAUUUCACUAGUACAGAGCCAUUGGAGAACCACAACUGUAAUGAAAUUGGGAAUUUUUGAAAUAGUAAGCAGCAGCAGUUGCACUCCAAGGGACCUCUCAAAUGUGCUGAAAGUCUCCAUUGUCCUGGAAGAGGAGGUGGUGCUUGACAAUUUAGGAGACUUUGUUAAUGCAUUUAUUGUACUUUUUUGAAUUUUAUUUUAUGCACUCAUCCUGGAGUACAACAAGGACUUAAAGGGAUAGUUUACCCAAAUAUGAAAACUCUGUCAUUAACCCUCAUGUCGUUCCAAACCCAUAAGACCUUUGUUCAUCUUCAGAAAACAAAUUAAGAUAUUUUUGAUGAAAUUUUUGAUGAAACAAUGGUCUUAUUGAUGUGGAACGACAUGAGGGUAAUUAAUGACAGAAUAUUAACCUCAAAGUACCUCUUAUGAGUUUUUUUUUGGCAAACAUUUGAAGUGUAAGAUGCAGUUUCAUGAGCUCAAAGUACCUCUUGUGAGAAUGGUAGAGUUCAUGUGAAAUUACUCUAAACACUGGGUGAAGUAACCUCCCCAUUACUUAAAUUUGAUGCUGUUUUUGACAUUUUUAAUAUGUGAAUGUAUUUGAUCUUUAAUGUUUAAAUAGUUAAGAUGCAGUUUCAUGAGCUCAGAGUACCUUUUGUGAAAAUGGUAAUAUUCAGUGACAUUAACCUAAACACUGGUUGAAGUAACUUGAGAUAAAUUAUUAUUAUUUGAUGGUGUUUGACAUUUUUUGCAUGUUUGUGAAUGUAUCGAUGUAUAAGGUGCAAUUCAUCAGCUUUGUUUAUCU